rnacentral:rRNA from 1 species
CAUGCAAGUCGAACGAUGAUUCCCGUGCUUGCACGGGUUGAUUAGUGGCGAACGGGUGAGUAACACGUGAGUAACCUGCCCCCGACUCUGGGAUAAGCCUGGGAAACCGGGUCUAAUACCGGAUAUUCUCCCCCUUCCGCAUGGAGGGGGGUGGAAAGAUUCAUCGGUCGGGGAUGGACUCGCGGCCUAUCAGCUUGUUGGUGGGGUAAUGGCCCACCAAGGCGACGACGGGUAGCCGGCCUGAGAGGGUGACCGGCCACACUGGGACUGAGACACGGCCCAGACUCCUACGGGAGGCAGCAGUGGGGAAUAUUGCACAAUGGGCGAAAGCCUGAUGCAGCGACGCCGCGUGGGGGAUGACGGCCUUCGGGUUGUAAACCCCUUUCAGUAGGGAAGAAGCGAAAGUGACGGUACCUGCAGAAGAAGCGCCGGCUAACUACGUGCCAGCAGCCGCGGUAAUACGUAGGGCGCAAGCGUUAUCCGGAAUUAUUGGGCGUAAAGAGCUCGUAGGCGGUUUGUCGCGUCUGCCGUGAAAGUCCGGGGCUCAACCCCGGAUCUGCGGUGGGUACGGGCAGACUAGAGUGAUGUAGGGGAGACUGGAAUUCCUGGUGUAGCGGUGAAAUGCGCAGAUAUCAGGAGGAACACCGAUGGCGAAGGCAGGUCUCUGGGCAUCUACUGACGCUGAGGAGCGAAAGCAUGGGGAGCGAACAGGAUUAGAUACCCUGGUAGUCCAUGCCGUAAACGUUGGGCACUAGAUGUGGGGGACAUUCCACGUUUUCCGCGUCGUAGCUAACGCAUUAAGUGCCCCGCCUGGGGAGUACGGCCGCAAGGCUAAAACUCAAAGGAAUUGACGGGGGCCCGCACAAGCGGCGGAGCAUGCGGAUUAAUUCGAUGCAACGCGAAGAACCUUACCAAGGCUUGACAUGGGCCGGAUCGCCGCAGAAAUGUGGUUUCCCCUUUGGGGCCGGUUCACAGGUGGUGCAUGGUUGUCGUCAGCUCGUGUCGUGAGAUGUUGGGUUAAGUCCCGCAACGAGCGCAACCCUCGUUCCAUGUUGCCAGCACGUAGUGGUGGGGACUCAUGGGAGACUGCCGGGGUCAACUCGGAGGAAGGUGGGGACGACGUCAAAUCAUCAUGCCCCUUAUGUCUUGGGCUUCMNCAUGCUACAAUGGCCGGUACAAUGGGUUGCGA